AACGAACGCUGGCGGCAUGCCUAACACAUGCAAGUCGAACGAGACCUUCGGGUCUAGUGGCGCACGGGUGCGUAACGCGUGGGAACCUGCCCUUAGGUUCGGAAUAACUCCCCGAAAGGGGUGCUAAUACCGGAUAAUGUCUUCGGACCAAAGAUUUAUCGCCUUUGGAUGGGCCCGCGUUGGAUUAGCUAGUUGGUAGGGUAAAAACCUACCAAGGCGACGAUCCAUAGCUGGUCUGAGAGGAUGAUCAGCCACACUGGGACUGAGACACGGCCCAGACUCCUACGGGAGGCAGCAGUAGGGAAUAUUGGACAAUGGGCGAAAGCCUGAUCCAGCAAUGCCGCGUGAGUGAUGAAGGCCUUAGGGUUGUAAAGCUCUUUUACCCGGGAUGAUAAUGACAGUACCGGGAGAAUAAGCUCCGGCUAACUCCGUG
rnacentral:rRNA from 1 species